GCACCUACAAUCUGCUAAUGCCAUGAUAUAUAGCUAAAAUGUCUAAAUUCUCAUUUAAAUUUAAAGCCAAAAUGAAUCAACCAUUCAAAAUACAUCCCAAUAAUACCAUUCGUUUACAAUUUCAAAUUACUACAUCCACAAAAUAUAUAUCAAACAAUCCAUAUAUGCAUCUCAAAUUCACUUUUCAAUAUAAAUUACUACUAUAUUGAAUUGUGAAUUUGAUUACAUCCACAACCUAACAUAGACAUUAGACAUCAUUCAUCAAGAAGUGAUCAACCAUAAGUAUAUAAAGCAGCACCUUUACAAGAACCAUAAGUAUAUAAAGCAGCACCUUUUCAUGCUUCUGUACCUGAGUGGGCAACAACAAUGAUUUCCUGUUAGUUUCCUUUACAAGAACCAACUAAUUUUAAGGACUUGAUGAGAGUUGCUUAAUUAUUCAUGGAACUUCAAGAUACAUCUAUUGACAUUCUACUUGCCUAUUUCAAAUGCCUAGUGAAAGGAGAACAAAAUGAACCUAUAAUUUGUUUUUGAUAACAAGCUCAUUACCUUCUCUUGUAAACUUCUGCAGAUGUGUUCUCUGGCAGCAAAAUACCAGCUGCAUGUUAGUAAGUUUUGUGGCCUGGAAGGACAAGGUAGGCUUGUGUGAUGGUGUGUGCAUGGAUGCAGAUACUUCAACUAGCAAUGAACUACAAAUGGCAGCUGGUUAUGAAACUGAGCAAGUAAGAUAUCACAUGUUAAUAAACUGAAGUUACAGUGAAAUACAGAAAAAUAGCUUCCCAAAUCAUUUGUUAACCAUGCUUUCACUAACAGAUGUGUAAUAUAAUUUUUAUGAACAAUCAGGUACAGGAAAUUAAAUAUUUUAGAGCUACAAGUUACUAGAACUGAUGCUGACUAUAGUGAAGAACACAGAAUCAUAUAAUAACAGCUAAGCCAAUAUCAGUCAUUGCAAAUGCUCAGAAUCUCUUCAUGCUGUGAAGAGAAAUUAUCCCAUCAGUGUAUAAGCACAUAUACUAUCUCCAAUACAUAUAAUAAAUUCCAAGUAUGACCUACGAAAGUAAUAGGAGGAGAAAGAAAUAGGAAAAUCAAGGGACAAUUGUAUGAUAAUUUUCUGUAGAUAAAUGUAGAGAUUUCUUCCCUACGACCAUUAAUAUGGUUUUUACAAGGAAAUCACCACUACACUGCUUCUGGAUCAUGACUUGCACAGGGCAAGUCAUGAUUUACUGAUUUAAUCUUGUGAAAAUCAAGUUGUGCAGAAAUUAAAAGCUUUUCAUGACCUGUGAAAAUCAAGUUGUGCAGAAAGUAGGAACUGGGGCGGAUAUUAUAGGAGCACACAAAUACACGUAUGAAUAUCUGUCAUCUGUGCAAGAAACGCACAAGCAAGCGUGCACGCUGACACACAAAAACACCUUAUAUUAUAAAAAGUUAUCUACCCUAUGCUUAUGUGCUUUUUCCUUUUAACUAUUCACAGCAAGAUGGAUAGAUAAUAGCUCAGAUAAGUAACAAAAGAAAGUAAAUUAAUAUUUCCAAGAACUAACAACUAUAGUUCUUGAACAUAAAUUUUGCGAUAACAUAGAAUCAGUGAUCAGGAAUGAAAAGAUUAUAUGACAAAAGAAAAAACUAUAAAAAGUCACCUUCAUCUUCUAUAGCUUAAACCUCUUCUACAGCCUCAGUUCUGAACAUGUCAACAGUAACUGAUGGUGCAAAAGCCGGCUGACUAGAGGGCUCUGAUACAUGAUUCCACUCUGAACCAGGAAGUGUGGUCUUGUUAAAAGACGACUGAGCAGGUACUACCGGUGCAGAUUGUCCCUUUGCAACUUGUAACUUCAAAAUGACAAUCAAGCAGAAACUCAGUCCCAUGAUGUC
rnacentral:lncRNA from 1 species